rnacentral:rRNA from 1 species
AACGAACGCUGGCGGCAGGCUUAACACAUGCAAGUCGAGCGCCCCGCAAGGGGAGCGGCAGACGGGUGAGUAACGCGUGGGGACGUACCCUUUGGUUCGGAACAACUCCGGGAAACUGGCGCUAAUACCGGAUAAGCCCUAACGGGGAAAGAUUUAUCGCCGAAAGAUCGGCCCGCGUCUGAUUAGCUAGUUGGUGAGGUAACGGCUCACCAAGGCGACGAUCAGUAGCUGGUCUGAGAGACUGAUCAGCCACACUGGGACUGAGACACGGCCCAGACUCCUACGGGAGGCAGCAGUGGGGAAUAUUGGACAAUGGGCGCAAGCCUGAUCCAGCCAUGCCGCGUGAGUGAUGAAGGCCUUAGGGUUGUAAAGCUCUUUUGUCCGGGAAGAUAAUGACGGUACCGGAAGAAUAAGCCCCGGCUAACUUCGUG